ACCUGGAUCAUGGCUGCCGCGCCGCCGCUACGGGACCGCCUGAGCUUUCUACACCGGGUGAGUGAGGGCGGUCCGCCCGGGCCCCGGUCCCACGGCUCCUCUCGAGCGCCGCAUUCCCCGGACUCGCCCCGGGCCGGAGCCAUUGACCUUGCGUCUCCGCGCCGGGUAGCUGCUCCUGGCCCCUUCGCCCGCGCCGACGCCCCUGAGCUGCCCGCCCGCCGCGCCGUCCCGGGGCCUUCCAAGCCGGGCCUUCCAAGCCGGACCCGCCGAGCGCAAGGGCGAUGGGCACAGCCAGACCCUGGGGGAACGAACAGGCCUCGGCCAGCAUUCAGUGGCCUCCGACGGGAGGGAAGGAGCGGCGGACCCGGUGGACGUGGAGCCGCUGUGUCCGUGCUGCUGGCGCCCAGGUGGGCUGGCAGCCCGCCGUCCUCCCUGACGGUGGCGUUUCAGAGGACUCCGGUCCUGGAGAGGCACCCCUGGGUUGCAGAGAACACAGACGUCUCGAAGGGACAGAGAAGGACGCACCAUUAUCUCGGCCCUUCCGACCGAAAGGCUU
rnacentral:lncRNA from 1 species